rnacentral:lncRNA from 1 species
CUUCAUGCUCUUUCUCGAAAUGUUACAUAAGUCAGCACUUGUAUUUUUGAAGCCAAAAUGGGUACCUGAAUAUGGUAUGGGAAAAUUAGAAAUUGGAUUAGAGGUCUUGCAGAAAUGGCAACAGCAGUAAACAGCAAGAGCAACAAACUCGACAGGAAUCAACCACAACCAACGAAAAAUAGAGUUUUUAACAAUAAUCCUAAAUUAGCCUUGCAAAACUUAGAUUCACCUCUUUCUAAACCAGGUUCAGCUUUCAAAACCAAAUCAAACUAACCUAGACCCCAGGUGAACCAGAUAAUGCUCCAAAAUCCAAAGAGACCUCAAAGCUCAAGUUUAAGCAGUAAUUUUCAAUAUUUAGCUGCCUGAAGUUUCUUUGGAAUUUUUCAGUUCUUAAUCCUUGUCUUCUAAGGCAAGAAAGAAUGUCUUUAAAGGCAAGUAACUAGGUCACCCUUCAGAAUUGUUAUUUCAAUUUAGUCCCUAUAAUUUUUAGCUUUUUUGCAUUCCAAUCCUUAGUAUCCUGACUUGCUACC